UACAUGGGGUGCAAACGUUGCUCGGAAUUAUUGGGCGUAAAGCGCGCGUAGGCGGUUACUUAAGUCGGAUGUGAAAGCCCUCGGCUUAACUGAGGAAGUGCACCCGAAACUGAGUAGCUGGAGUACGAAAGAGGGUCGCGGAAUUCCUGGUGUAGCGGUGAAAUGCGUAGAUAUCAGGAGGAAUACCGGUGGCGAAAGCGACUCUCUGGACGGCAACUGACGCUGAGGCACGAAAGCGUGGGGAGCAAACAGG
rnacentral:rRNA from 1 species